AUUUAUGUUUUGAUAGUCUUCCUUAUGAGUUGUAACGACCGAACCUGAUAAGAUUCGAGUCUCUGUGCUCACUUGCUAGUUCCUGGAUGAAUAGCUAGCACACACAGUACAAGAUGUAAUAUCAAAAUAAACCACAUGUCAUAAUAUUACAUCGCAGAUCCAGAAUUAAAUAUUACAUACAUGCGUAGCUCAAGGCUAGUAUACAAACAAAAUUCAGCGAAAAAGCAAAUACACCAUGAAGUCCAUCAAAACCACAAGCAAAUGUCGAGUAGAACCCUACAUCGUAUCACUCACUCGUCGUAUAAAAUCUGCAACAUGAAACAUUGCAGCCAUGAAGGGUCAAUACUUUGAAUGUAUUGGCAAGUCACACACGGAAUGAUAUAACAGACCUACAUCUACAUGCAAGGUAUAUCAAGAGGAUAAUGUAGUGGUUGUUUUUUUGCAGAAAAGCUAAUUUUUUCAUGAUAGCUACAUAAUAGUCAAAUUUUAAUUAUGUCUUGCUACAAUUAAAUACAUAUGGUUGAAUUGGGCACUCCAAUUCCAACCUAUAUCCAUCAUUAAGUUUCCCACUCAAUUUUUAUUAAGGUAUCAUAUGUCAAGAUCAUCCAACAACUGUAAUGGUCUAGCUGCUCAAAUUUGUCCAUAACCGGGGACACGACUAAUCAUGAUUAGUUUUUACACUCUGCAGAGGUUUGUACACUUUACCCACUGGACUCAACCCGGAGAUUGAGACAAAGUCUUUCAGAAGCAGUCGCCUAGUCCCACAGGAGAGGCCCAUCCCAACUAUCGUAUCUACAUCUGCUGGCACAUCCGGGUAAGGUUUUCGCAACUGAUCAACUCAGCCAGAGCCCAUAUUAGCCAGUGGCUGUACAUGGAAGCUACUAGUCACUAAGUCUGUCUGAUCUUUUUGAGCCUGGAUGGCACCCACUUACAUUCAGAGGGUAUAAACCAUGAUGCUCUUGAAACCACCUAACAAUACAAUUCGGGCGCACUUAGCCAUGGUCCGUGUCCUUAGAAAAGGAACAAGAAAUUCCAUGAUGCAACCCUGUCCGUCCAGAGGUGAAUUAUGUAUUAUGUUUUUACUCGAGUUAUAUUAUAUAUAGACCUCACAUAAUCUCGAUGAAUACACGAACCAAUCCUCGUCUACAUAGCAUAGCAAGAAUACACUACCACGUUCUACAAUAAGGCCAUACUAACUACAUCUCAAUAGUAGUAACAUGCUGCCAUAAUAUUCCUACACAUGCAUAAUAUGGUAUUGUGAUAUAGAACUACAUGCAUAAAAAAUAAUAGGAUGAAGGAUGAUCAAGGUGUAACUUGCCUGGUACGUUUGAUGAAGUUCGCCACACUCACAAUUCCUGACAAUUCUACUCGUCACGCUCCGAGUAAUCUAUCGCAAUGAAAUAAUUCAAAUCAAUAACCAUGCCAUACAGAAGAAUCAAAAGAACAACAAAACAAAUAUGGCAAGGUUAAACAAAAUCAAUAUAGUUGGGCUUAAUAUAUAAUAUAGGUCUCGAUGUGCUAUAAGGAGACAAGUGAAGUAGUUAACUCCAAAGAGUCAAUUGAUAUAGAAAGAUUCCUAUAUAGGAUUAUACUUGAGAUAAUAUGGAAUAUGCUCAAAAUUAUAUGGAAAACAACAAAAUGUUGUUAGACAGAAAGCAUAUGACAUAGGUGUUCAUUUGCAAAAAGAAAGAAUUGAAUAGGAGUACUACAACUCAAAUUAUAGUGAGAUAAAAUCUGAAUUGAAUUUAAAUUCAGACAGGUCAAAAGUAUUUGAAAAUUUGAGUAUACAGAAUAUUAUCAACAAGUACUUGAUACAAGUUUUCAGACACAAAAAGAAUCAAUUGAAAAGGUGUCACGGUUCUCUCGAUAUGAUCACAUGAAGGUAUUAGUUCAAAUUUGAAUUGCUCAAAUUUAAAAUAGUUCGAAAGGUGAAAACAAUGGUGUCAACGGAAAGAUGGUCUCACGAGGAUCACUCUGCAAAAAAUUUCAUCUCAAUCGGAGCUACGGUUGAAGAGAUAUGAUAGACUGAAGUUAUAGGGGCCUAUUUGUAAAAAUGCAAAGUAUAAUUCAGUAGGAAAAGAAAUUAAAACAAAACUCUGGGACACGCGGCGAAACAUGAUUGAUUGAUACCCCUUCGGGGCUAAGGGCUGUGUGGAUCAUUAGAUUAAGUCGUGAUCAACGACCGAUGUUCUUUUGGAGGUAGGGUUUGAGAGGUGGGGAAUUGCUCACCAGAAAGUUCGCCGGACUUAAUGCAGAUGGCGGCGGACGGCUGGGGCGUUGGCGAUGGGGUGACUCCGGUGGGGAGGUUUCCUGAGAUCAGCGAGGGCUGGACGAUGUGAAGAGAAACGAGGAGAUCUUGGGAGUGUCGUUGGGAGCGUCGGAUGACCACUCUGGCAACGGUGAGGUGUGGCUGGAGCUCCAAUGGCGAGCGCGAGCUUCUGGUGGAGCUGUGCAACUCGAUCCGGUGUGCCCCUGGACAAAUAGGAGGGCAAGGAGGCUUCGUAGUGAGCAAUUAGGAAGAAAGGGGUGGUCGGGCGGACUCGGGACCUUCGUAUGGCAUCGGAAUCAUCCGGCGAUGCUUCGGUGGCCGAGGAACUACGGCGAGAUCGAGCGCUCGCAAUCGGGGCCCGUUCUGUGAGGUGACGAUGGGAAUCGAACGAGAUGGAUCCAGGGGAUCUCCCAAUGGCUUCGGAUUGGAGAAACGGCUUGGGGUCAGG
rnacentral:lncRNA from 1 species